GGGGGAGCAUAUCUGGCAGUCGAGCGAGCUUGCCUAGAUGAUUUUAGUGCUUGCACUAAAUGAAACUAGAUACAAGCGAGCGGCGGACGGGUGAGUAACACGUGGGUAACCUGCCCAAGAGACUGGGAUAACACCUGGAAACAGAUGCCAAUACCGGAUAACAACACUAGACGCAUGUCUAGAGUUUGAAGGAUGGUUCUGCUAUCACUCUUGGAUGGACCUGCGGUGCAUUAGCUAGUUGGUAAGGUAACGGCUUACCAAGGCAAUGAUGCAUAGCCGAGUUGAGAGACUGAUCGGCCACAUUGGGACUGAGACACGGCCCAAACUCCUACGGGAGGCAGCAGUAGGGAAUCUUCCACAAUGGACGAAAGUCUGAUGGAGCAACGCCGCGUGAGUGAAGAAGGGUUUCGGCUCGUAAAGCUCUGUUGGUAGUGAAGAAAGAUAGAGGUAGUAACUGGCCUUUAUUUGACGGUAAUUACUUAGAAAGUCACGGCUAACUACGUGCCAGCAGCCGCGGUAAUACGUAGGUGGCAAGCGUUGUCCGGAUUUAUUGGGCGUAAAGCGAGUGCAGGCGGUUCAAUAAGUCUGAUGUGAAAGCCUUCGGCUCAACCGGAGAAUUGCAUCAGAAACUGUUGAACUUGAGGGCAGAAGAGGAGAGUGGAACUCCAUGUGUAGCGGUGGAAUGCGUAGAUAUAUGGAAGAACACCAGUGGCGAAGGCGGCUCUCUGGUCUGCAACUGACGCUGAGGCUCGAAAGCAUGGGUAGCGAACAGGAUUAGAUACCCUGGUAGUCCAUGCCGU
rnacentral:rRNA from 1 species